GAGGUAACGGCUCACCAAGGCGACGAUCCCUAGCUGGUUUGAGAGGAUGAUCAGCCACACUGGAACUGAGACACGGUCCAGACUCCUACGGGAGGCAGCAGUGGGGAAUAUUGCACAAUGGGCGCAAGCCUGAUGCAGCCAUGCCGCGUGUGUGAAGAAGGCCUUCGGGUUGUAAAGCACUUUCAGUCAGGAGGAAAGGUUAGUAGUUAAUACCUGCUAGCUGUGACGUUACUGACAGAAGAAGCACCGGCUAACUCCGUGCCAGCAGCCGCGGUAAUACGGAGGGUGCGAGCGUUAAUCGGAAUUACUGGGCGUAAAGCGUACGCAGGCGGUUUGUUAAGCGAGAUGUGAAAGCCCCGGGCUUAACCUGGGAACUGCAUUUCGAACUGGCAAACUAGAGUGUGAUAGAGGGUGGUAGAAUUUCAGGUGUAGCGGUGAAAUGCGUAGAGAUCUGAAGGAAUACCGAUGGCGAAGGCAGCCACCUGGGUCAACUACUGACGCUCAUGUACGAAAGCGUGGGGGAGCAAACAGGAUUAGAUACCCUGGUAGUCCACGCCGUAAACGAUGUCUACUAGGAGCUGGGGUCUUCGGACAACUUUUCCAAA
rnacentral:rRNA from 1 species